rnacentral:rRNA from 1 species
AUAAGGUCAAGGUAAUAAGAGCGUACGGUGGAUGCCUUGGCGCCAAGAGUCGAAGAAGGACGUGGUAAGCUGCGAAAAGCUUCGGGGAGCCGCAAGCAGGCGUUGAACCGGAGAUGUCCGAAUGGGGAAACCCGGAUGGAGUAAUAUCCAUUCAUCCUGUAUUGAACACAUAGAUACAGAGAAGACAACCUGGGGAACUGAAACAUCUAAGUACCCAGAGGAAGAGAAAGAAAACUCGAUUCCCUGAGUAGCGGCGAGCGAAACGGGAAGAGCCUAAACCAGCGUCUUCGGAUGCUGGGGUUGCGGGACUCACAUGAGAAGGAUGAAAGCCUAGCCGAAGAGGUCUGGAAAGGCCCAUCACAGAGGGUAACAAUCCUGUAGGUGAAAGGCAGAAAUACUUGUGAGGAUCCCAAGUACCGCGGGACACGAGAAACCCCGUGGGAAUCCGGGGGGACCACCCCCCAAGGCUAAAUACUCCUUGGCGACCGAUAGUGAACCAGUACCGUGAGGGAAAGGUGAAAAGAACCCCGGGAGGGGAGUGAAAAAGAACCUGAAACCGUAUGCUUACAAACAGUCAGAGCACUUUUAAUGUGUGAUGGCGUACCUUUUGUAGAAUGGACCGGCGAGUUACGGUAACGAGCGAGGUUAAGUCGAAAAGACGGAGCCGGAGCGAAAGCGAGUCUUAAAAGGGCGAAUAGUUCGUUGUCGUAGACCCGAAACUUGGUGAUCUACCCAUGGUCAGGGUGAAGCUUAGGUAAGACUGAGUGGAGGCCCGAACUGACCGGCGUUGAAAAGCCGGCGGAUGAACUGUGGGUAGGGGUGAAAUGCCAAUCGAACCAAGAGAUAGCUGGUUCUCCCCGAAAUAGCUUUAGGGCUAGCCUCAAUUGAUGAUUCAUGGCGGUAGAGCACUGUUAGGGCUAGGGGCCUAACCAGGUUACUGAACUCUCACAAACUGCGAAUGCCAUGAAUUUAAGUUGGGAGUCAGACUGCGGGGGAUAAGCUUCGUAGUCGAAAGGGAAACAGCCCAGACCGACAGCUAAGGUCCCAAAGUAAGUGCUAAGUGGAAAAGGAUGUAGAGUUGCUAAAACAACCAGGAUGUUGGCUUAGAAGCAGCCACCAUUCAAAGAGUGCGUAAUAGCUCACUGGUCGAGUGACUCUGCGCCGAAAAUGUAACGGGGCUCAAGCACAACACCGAAGCUUCGGGAUCGGACAGAAUCUUAAUGUUCUUAAAAGAAAGAGUAAGUGGAAAGAGGAACAUUUGCCGAAAAGCAACAAAGGAAUUAUGAUAAGAGGUGUUUUCGGGCAAAUGGACUUAAGGAUCAAGGUCAAGUAAGUUAAGGGCAUUAAGAUUCUGUUCGAUCGGUAGGGGAGCGUACUCAACAGGACGAAGCAUGACCGGAAGGACAUGUGGACAGUUGAGCAGAGAGAAUGCCGGUAUAAGUAAGCGAAAAGGCAGGCGAGAAUCCUGCCCGCCGAAAGCCUAAGGUUUCCUGGGGAAGGCUCGUCCGCCCAGGGUAAGUCAGGACCUAAGUCGAGGCGAAGAGCGUAGAUGAUGGACAAUCGGUUAAAAAUCCGAUACCACCUGAACCCGUAUGAAGGAAGGGGUGACACAGGAGGGUAGGCACAGCGCACCGUUGGUCGAGUGCGUCCAAGCCGGUAGGGAGAAUAGUAGGAAAAACCGCUAUUCAAAAUCCCGAGAGGUGACGGGGAGCGAAACUAAGUAGCGAACUGGCUGAUCCCACACUGUCAAGAAAAGCCUCUAACGAGGGUUUGGGUGCCUGUACCGCAAACCGACACAGGUAGGUGGGGUGAGAAUCCUAAGGCGCGCGAGAGAACCCUCGUUAAGGAACUCGGCAAAAUGACCCCGUAACUUCGGGAGAAGGGGUACCUCGGUAAUGUGAAAGUAAACAACUGGAGCAAGAAGAGGUCGCAGAGAAAAGGCCCAAGCGACUGUUUAACAAAAACACAGGUGCCUGCAAAGUCGAAAGACGACGUAUAGGUGCUGACGCCUGCCCGGUGCUGGAAGGUUAAGGGGAUUGCUUAGCGCAAGCGAAGGUGAGAACCGAAGCCCCAGUAAACGGCGGCCGUAACUAUAACGGUCCUAAGGUAGCGAAAUUCCUUGUCGGGUAAGUUCCGACCCGCACGAAAGGCGUAACGAUUUGGGCACUGUCUCAACGAGGGACUCGGCGAAAUUGUAAUACCGGUGAAGAUGCCGGUUACCUGCGACAGGACAGAAAGACCCCGUGGAGCUUUACUGUAGCCUGACAUUGGAUUUUGGUAUAUCAUGUACAGGAUAGGUGGGAGACUUGGAAUCUGGUACGCCAGUAUCAGAGGAGUCACCGGUGGGAUACCACUCUUGAUGUGCUGAAGUUCUAACUUUAAACCGUAAGCCGGUUAAAGGACAGUGUCAGGUGGGCAGUUUGACUGGGGCGGUCGCCUCCCAAAGAGUAACGGAGGCGCCCAAAGGUUUCCUCAGCGCGGAUGGAAAUCGCGCGAAGAGUGUAAAGGCAGAAGGGAGCUUGACUGCGAGAGAGACAUCUCGAGCAGGGACGAAAGUCGGGCUUAGUGAUCCGGCGGUACCGAGUGGAAGGGCCGUCGCUCAACGGAUAAAAGCUACCCCGGGGAUAACAGGCUUAUCUCCCCCAAGAGUCCACAUCGACGGGGAGGUUUGGCACCUCGAUGUCGGCUCAUCGCAUCCUGGGGCUGUAGUAGGUCCCAAGGGUUGGGCUGUUCGCCCAUUAAAGCGGUACGUGAGCUGGGUUCAGAACGUCGUGAGACAGUUCGGUCCCUAUCCGUCGCAGGCGUAGGAAAUUUGAGAGGAACUGUCCCUAGUACGAGAGGACCGGGAUGGACAGACCUCUGGUGUACCAGUUAUCCUGCCAAGGGUACAGCUGGGUAGCUAAGUCUGGAAGGGAUAAGCGCUGAAAGCAUCUAAGCGCGAAGCCGGCCUCAAGAUAAGAUUUCCCACAGCGCAAGCUGGUAAGACCCCAGAGAGACGAUCUGGUUGAUAGGCCGGAUGUGGAAGGGCAGCAAUGUCCGGAGCUGACCGGUACUAAUUGGUCGAGGACUUGACCUUA